CCCUUAGAUGUUCUGGGCCGCACGCGCGCUACACUGACACAGGCAACGAGCUUUCCUUUACCGAAAGGUAUGGGUAAUCUUUUGAAACUGUGUCGUGCUGGGGAUAGAUCCUUGCAAUUUUUGAUCUUACACGAGGAAUUCCUAGUAAGCGCGAGUCAUCAACUCGCGUUGAUUACGUCCCUGCCCUUUGUACACACCGCCCGUCGCUCCUACCGAUUGGGUGUGCUGGUGAAAUGUUCGGAUCGGCCGUUUGUCGCGGUUUCCGCGUCAUGUGGCUGAGAAGUUCAUUAAACCCUCCCACCUAGAGGAAGGAGAAGUCGUAACA
rnacentral:rRNA from 1 species